AGCUCUCACAAUCCGUCAGUGACAUCUAGCAAUAUGUAGUGACAAUUCAGUAGAACCGAAAUAGAACCUCUAGGUGUAGUUAAUGUAUGAUAUAGUCCUUCUGUCGUGAGUCCCGACUAGAUGAUAGAUCAUGGAUAAUUCGUCAAACUUCAUCAUCAGUCAUAUGAUAGAUAUGAUCAGCUCAAGUCUAAUAGUGAUUUCAAAUAAAAUUUUUUUUCCAUUAAUCACACUGCUAUGGCCAUAGAUUUGUGAACUCAGCUUCUUAAAUCUUAUAGGACUACUCCUCUCUAUCAAGAUCGAUAGAUCCCAUAUAGAUACACACGUUGCUGGCAC
rnacentral:lncRNA from 1 species